rnacentral:rRNA from 1 species
CGUAGGGCGCAAGCGUUGUCCGGAAUUAUUGGGCGUAAAGAGCUCGUAGGCGGCUUGUCACGUCGGGUGUGAAAGACCGGGGCUUAACCCCGGUUCUGCAUUCGAUACGGGCUGGCUAGAGUGUGGUAGGGGAGAUCGGAAUUCCUGGUGUAGCGGUGAAAUGCGCAGAUAUCAGGAGGAACACCGGUGGCGAAGGCGGAUCUCUGGGCCAUUACUGACGCUGAGGAGCGAAAGCGUGGGGAGCGAACAGGAUUAGAUACCCUGGUAGUCCACGCCGUAAACGGUGGGAACUAGGUGUUGGCGACAUUCCACGUCGUCGGUGCCGCAGCUAACGCAUUAAGUUCCCCGCCUGGGGAGCACGGCCGCAAGGCUA